rnacentral:rRNA from 1 species
AUCACCUUUGUAUGCGAUUAUGUGAGUGUGAGGAGCUUAUCGCCUUCAUACCUGUAUAUUCGUGUACUUGGGGUGUACUUAUUCGUGGGGUAAGUUAACCUCAAUUUUCCCUUUCAUAAAAUGACUGGAGGAAUGUAGCUUCGAUCUCGUAUUGAAGUGUUAUAGCCUUCGGUAGAUGUGAUGAUCGAGAUUGAGGAUUGCAAUGGAUACCCUUCGGGGCUACCUGUCUGGUCUCUGAUUGUUGCUCUGGUGCCGAAAGCUUGCUUACGGUUAUCAAAGUCGAUGGUCAAUAGGUUAGAACGGGUUAAAUUCGUUAAGGAUGUUGACGUAAUGGCUUU